rnacentral:rRNA from 1 species
AUUGAACGCUGGCGGCAGGCCUAACACAUGCAAGUCGAACGGUAACAGGAAGAAGCUUGCUUCUUUGCUGACGAGUGGCGGACGGGUGAGUAAUGUCUGUGAAACUGCCUGAUGGAGGGGGAUAACUACUGGAAACGGUAGCUAAUACCGCAUAACGUCGCAAGACCAAAGAGGGGGACCUUCGGGCCUCUUGCCAUCGGAUGUGCCCAGAUGGGAUUAGCUAGUAGGUGGGGUAACGGCUCACCUAGGCGACGAUCCCUAGCUGGUCUGAGAGGAUGAACAGCCACACUGGAACUGAGACACGGUCCAGACUCCUACGGGAGGCAGCAGUGGGGAAUAUUGCACAAUGGGCGCAAGCCUGAUGCAGCCAUGCCGCGUGUAUGAAGAAGGCCUUCGGGUUGUAAAGUACUUUCAGCGGGGAGGAAGGGAGUUAAGUUAAUACCUUUGCUCAUUGACGUUACCCGCAGAAGAAGCACCGGCUAACUCCGUG